ACAUGCAAGUCGAGGGGCAGCAUAAUGGAUAGCAAUAUCUAUGGUGGCGACCGGCGCACGGGUGCGUAACGCGUAUGCAACCUACCUUUAACAGGGGGAUAACACUGAGAAAUUGGUACUAAUACCCCAUAAUAUCAUAGAAGGCAUCUUUUAUGGUUGAAAAUUCCGAUGGUUAGAGAUGGGCAUGCGUUGUAUUAGCUAGUUGGUGGGGUAACGGCUCACCAAGGCGACGAUACAUAGGGGGACUGAGAGGUUAACCCCCCACACUGGUACUGAGACACGGACCAGACUCCUACGGGAGGCAGCAGUGAGGAAUAUUGGUCAAUGGACGCAAGUCUGAACCAGCCAUGCCGCGUGCAGGAUGACGGCUCUAUGAGUUGUAAACUGCUUUUGUACGAGGGUAAACGCAGAUACGUGUAUCUGUCUGAAAGUAUCGUACGAAUAAGGAUCGGCUAACUCCGUGCCAGCAGCCGCGGUAAUACGGAGGAUUCAAGCGUUAUCCGGAUUUAUUGGGUUUAAAGGGUGCGUAGGCGGUUUGAUAAGUUAGAGGUGAAAUUUCGGGGCUCAACCCUGAACGUGCCUCUAAUACUGUUGAGCUAGAGAGUAGUUGCGGUAGGCGGAAUGUAUGGUGUAGCGGUGAAAUGCUUAGAGAUCAUACAGAACACCGAUUGCGAAGGCAGCUUACCAAACUAUAUCUGACGUUGAGGCACGAAAGCGUGGGGAGCAAACAGGAUUAGAUACCCUGGUAGUCCACGCAGUAAACGAUGAUAACUCGUUGUCGGCGAUAUACAGUCGGUGACCAAGCGAAAGCGAUAAGUUAUCCACCUGGGGAGUACGUUCGCAAGAAUGAAACUCAAAGGAAUUGACGGGGGCCCGCACAAGCGGAGGAACAUGUG
rnacentral:rRNA from 1 species